UUUCCCAAAUCGCUCGCGCCAUUUCUCUCCCAAACCCUUCUUCCCUCGCCCCAUCCCCAUAUCGCGCACCCAUCCCCAAAUCCCGAAAGUCUCUCUCUCUCUCCAACGUCUCUCGAUCUCCCUUUUCCACUCCGGCCUCUCUUGAUAUGGCUUCCAUUUCCAUUGCUUGUUGAAGACGCGGAUCUCUCGGUCGUUGCCCUCCUUGCUGGAACACGCCAAAGUCCGAGAAGGCCUGUAAGAGAAGAAGCACCAGCAACAGCCGCAGCAGUAGCUCCCCUUCUCCAACAGCCGCAGUAGUUGUAGCUUUGAAGGAAGAUGGGUGCCCAAAAGUUUGGGUUGUGACUUCGGAUUUUUGUCAGCAGCAUGCUGCACAUGGGGCAGGUGCCUUUGUUUGGAGUCGCAAAGCAUUGGUUUCAGAGGUGAGAGGCAUACUCAUUGCCUUCACAUCACUGCUACUCAACAGAUCACCUAUGAAGACAUUUAAACCAAAUUGAG